CCUACGGGUGGCAGCAGUGGGGGAUAUUGCACAAUGGGGGAAACCCUGAUGCAGCGACGCCGCGUGUGGGAAGACGGUCCUCUGGAUUGUAAACCACUGUCCCCAGGGACGAAGAUGACGGUACCUGGGGAGGAAGCUCCGGCUAACUACGUGCCAGCAGCCGCGGUAAUACGUAGGGAGCGAGCGUUGUCCGGAAUUACUGGGGGAAAAGGGAGCGUAGGCGGGACUGCAAGUUGGGUGUCAAAUCUACCGGCUCAACCGGUAGCCGCACUCAACACUGCAGUUCUUGAGUGAAGUAGAGGCAGGCGGAAUUCCUAGUGUAGCGGGGAAAUGCGUAGAUAGUAGGAGGAACACCAGUGGCGAAGGCGGCCUGCUGGGCUUUUACUGACGCUGAGGCUCGAAAGUGUGGGGAGCAAACAGGAUUAGAUACCCCUGUAGUC
rnacentral:rRNA from 1 species